CAGUCGAACGGACUUAACUCAUUCUUUUAGAUUGAGAGCGGUUAGUGGCGGACUGGUGAGUAACACGUAAGCAACCUGCCUAUCAGAGGGGAAUAACAGUGAGAAAUCAUUGCUAAUACCGCAUAAGCUAGUAGUAUCGCAUGAUAUAGCUAGAAAAGGAGCAAUCCGCUGAUAGAUGGGCUUGCGUCUGAUUAGCUAGUUGGUGGGGUAACGGCCUACCAAGGCGACGAUCAGUAGCCGGACUGAGAGGUUGAACGGCCACAUUGGGACUGAGAUACGGCCCAGACUCCUACGGGAGGCAGCAGUCGGGAAUAUUGCGCAAUGGAGGAAACUCUGACGCAGUGACGCCGCGUAUAGGAAGAAGGUUUUCGGAUUGUAAACUAUUGUCGUGAGGGAAGAAAUUGACAGUACCUCAGGAGGAAGCUCCGGCUAACUAUGUGCCAGCAGCCGCGGUAAUACAUAGGGAGCAAGCGUUAUCCGGAUUUAUUGGGUGUAAAGGGUGCGUAGACGGGAAAUUAAGUUAGUUGUGAAAUCCCUCGGCUUAACUGAGGAACUGCAACUAAAACUGAUUUUCUUGAGUACUGGAGAGGAAAGUGGAAUUCCUAGUGUAGCGGUGAAAUGCGUAGAUAUUAGGAGGAACACCAGUGGCGAAGGCGACUUUCUGGACA
rnacentral:rRNA from 1 species